ACCUGGUUGAUUUUUUUUUUUCAUGUAUAUUACACACCUGUUCCUCAUUUGUUUCCUUAAGGUUGCCCUGUUACAUUAUAUACUCUUCAAGGGAGAGACAGUGUCUUCUCUGCAUGCACAUUUUGAGUGUGCUUAGGCCCUUGCUCUGCAAGGUUGUGGUACAGAUGGAUGGCCAGGCCUGAUUGGGAGCCCUUCCUAACUUACUAAGAGCUCCAAGUGGCUGCAAGAGCCUUGAUUAUGAUAAAUAGGUACCAGGUGUUUGAGCUUUAAAAGGAAAGAGUGAUAAAAAGAAAUUCAAGAAAAGGUAACAGAGCUACAUGAGAAAUGGACCUCUUUCUUUCUGUGCUUCUAUCCACUUUAGCCAUAUUUCCUUUACUCUUCUUCAUGAACAGUACAUGCCCCCAGUGGUUGCGGGGGCAUGGCAGCAGUUGGAGCGUGGCAGCGGGAAUGUGGCGGUGGUAAGUGGGGGAGCUCCUGCAGACACCGCCGGUGCAGGUGGUGGCUGGGGGGGAGGUUGGUGAGCACCAACCAGGGGUCAGUGAUCACCCACAGAUGCCACUAGCAGUGUCAUUAUUGGCCAGUGGGAAUUGUGGACCUCCUGCAGACGUUGGCAGGGUGGCAAGCAGUGACCGCCUGCCUUUUUGUAGGGAGUGUACUGCCAUACUCAGGGGGUGCAUGUGCACCUGCGUACACUCCCUUCACAUUGUCCCUGCUCUUCUUUCAGAGUCUUUAUCCUACCUUGAACACCAAAGCUGCUCUUGAACCUUGGGCUAUCUCCUAUGACUUUUUUUUGUUGUCAAAAAAUAUAUGUUCUUCCUUCUCUCCUGUGGUAUAACUAACAAAGUUAGUUAUCCUGCCGCAAAACCACAUGGAAACUCAAAGCACUGUAAUUUUUUAGUACUCGGUGGAGUGGAUGGAAAUAUAACACUGACUUUUCCUAGAACCUUGUAGUAAAAACUCAGGCCAGAGUCUCUACUAUGAUUUUGCAGCCAGUUAGCAUGAGGGGCAUAGUAGCUAUUCUGCUAUAAAUCCUAGUUGAAUUAACCUGCUUGGUCUUUCUGUGCCAGUUCCUACUGCCCAACCUUUAUGAGAACAGUUUAUACCAUGCUAGAACAGAAUGGCAGCUUCAGUAAAAGAAUUUUUAGAAGUUGACAACUUAUAUCAAUACAGCAGAGUGAAGGUGUAGCUGUAGCAUGUGCCAGCAUACCUGUGCUACCUUUAAUCUAGCUAGCCUGGUUAACAAGAGGGCUAGGGACAGAAGUUAUACAUAAACUGGUUUAAAUGACCAGAAACUGGUUUAAACCUGUAACAGAACAGAAGCUCAAUGUACAUAAACUGGUUUAAGAUAAACCUGGUUGAAAGUAGCAUCAGAUGUGACUGAUUUGGGUCAAACCACUUCAUGGAGCUUCUGUCCCAGAACCCUUCCUGGUUCAAGUUAAAUCAGUCCCCCAGCAUACCAGCAGGUUUUCCAGCCCUGGGCUGAGCUGCACUAUCUGUUCCAGAGAGCAGGGUUGGCCCUGCUCCUCUGCUCCCUAGCUGGAGUAGUGAGGGCUGGCUGACAAGGAGGUCAGGGGGCAAGCUUGGCUGGGGAUGCCACUCUGGCUGGGGACUGCCCUCCCCCCAUCCCCCAUCCCCCCAGCAAACCCUGGCUGGGGUCUGGGGCCAGGGAGGGGAGCUAAACACCCCUUCUCCCCCUUAAACUUACUGCUGGCUAUAACUUUGGACUACAAAUUCCAGAGGCACCUAAAAGCAGGAAGAGGAUGGGAGGAACAACCCUGAAGAUUCCUGUCGCCAUCACUCUGGACUGCAAAUCCCAGAGUCCUGGGAGGCAGCAGGAAGAGGAAGUAAACACACAGCCAGAGAGCUGUGCUCUAGCACCCCCUAGCUUCUGCCCUAAGCCACUGCUGGCAUGUGGCUACAUUUCCUGAAUCAAAGGUUUGAGUAAGUAAGGUAAAAAAAAGACUCAUGCAGUUUUCUAACAUUUCCACUUCUGGACCCCUCUGGAGCCCAACAGAGCAGAGAUCACGUGGAAUUGAAAAUUCAUGCCUCUGCCCCGAAGAGCCACACGUCUCUCAUACAGUUUAAUCAAGUCUAAACACGUAUUAGAAUUUUGAAGGCAAAUUGUGGCAGCAAUGAGGGUUGUUAGUCCUCAGAGCCCAACUCCGAAUAAUCACAGUGUUGGGGACUUGUGGAGCUUUCCACUAGGUAUUGAUCUACUGCCCGACCACACCUAGCGUCUGCAAAUUGCGUAUAAGAAUCAGACUCGGUGGUAAAUUUCAAAACGACUGGAUGAUAUUAUUACAAAGGUAAGGCAAAUAAUAGGAUAAUGAAACAUAUAUACAAUAGCAGGGAAUGAUACAACAAACAUUAUGAGGGAUGACCAACAGAAACAAGCAGAGAGCAAAGUAGCCUCUCUGACCAUCUCUCUACAUUUCUGUGCAGUAGUGUUGCAUGGCAGAAACUGUGACUGCACAGUAGUUUCGGGAGACUGUGCAGCCAGUGUCACCAAAAAGCCGUUUGUCAGCACUACUGCGGAGUAACUGUGGCAGAAAGCCACCUUUGUUUCUCCCCAAAAAACUUUGCUAUGUGACAGUUGUGAUUAGGAUGGGCCCAGCAGAGGAUACACACCUUUACCCUAUCUCUUCGGGUAACCUGAGCUGGAUACAUUCCUGAGGGAGGGGGGAAACCUGCUCCCUCUGCCUACGUGACUGGCAUCACAUACCUGGGUGAGGGGCUUCCUUCCUGGUGGGCUAGAGUUUGCCCGGCAACUAGUGAUGCUCUUCAAAUUGGUUGGCUGACAGCCAACAGGUGAUGGCUUCCAUUGGACCAGGUAAACGAGGUCGCAAGGGAUAUAUAAGUUAAGGACUGCCCAGGAGGAAGGGGGCAGCAGCCAUGAGGGAUACUCAGGAACAAAGAAGAGAUGUACCAUCUGAAAUUUACUUUAUCUCUCAGAACUCAUGAUCAAGGAACCACCUGCCUCCAGAAGGAUUCUCCAACUGCCUCUGGAUGAUACUUGUGAGUAAGCUAACUGAGAUCCAACUAGAUAUAUAGCUUGCAGUAACUCAUGUGAGAUCAAAGACUACCCCAGCCACAGGAGUUUGCUUGAUGGGAUUUCUCUGAUAUUGCUCUACCCUGUACCCUAUUCUAACCCUACCCUUUGUAACCAAUAAAGUUUUCCUUUGUAA